rnacentral:rRNA from 1 species
UACGUAGGGUGCAAGCGUUGUUCAGAUUCACUGGGCGUAAAGGGUGCGUAGGUGGUGAGGUAAGUCGGAUGUGAAAUCUCCGGGCUCAACCCGGAAAUGGCAUUGGAAACUACCUUGCUGGAGGAUUUGAGGGGGGAUUGGAAUACUUGGUGUAGCAGUGAAAUGCGUAGAUAUCAAGUGGAACACCAGUGGCGAAGGCGAAUCCCUGGAAAAUACCUGACACUGAGGCACGAAAGCUAGGGGAGCAAACAGG